rnacentral:rRNA from 1 species
CGGCGAGUGGCGAACGGGUGAGUAUAGCAUCGGAACGUGCCAAGUAGUGGGGAUAACCAAACGAAAGUUUGGCUAAUACCGCGUAAGCUCUAAGGAGGAAAGUAGGGGACCUAAAUAAGGCCUUACGCUAUUUGAUCGGCCGAUGUCGGAUUAGCUAGUUGGUGGGGUAAUGGCUCACCAAGGCAAUGAUCCGUAGCGGGUCUGAGAGGACGAUCCGCCACACUGGGACUGAGACACGGCCCAG